CGUUUCCUACGGGACGCAGCAGUGGGGAAUAUUGCACAAUGGGGGAAACCCUGAUGCAGCGACGCCGCGUGAGUGAGGAAGUAUUUCGGUAUGUAAAGCUCUAUCAGCAGGGAAGAAAAUGACGGUACCUGACUAAGAAGCCCCGGCUAACUACGUGCCAGCAGCCGCGGUAAUACGUAGGGGGCAAGUGUUAUCCGGAUUUACUGGGUGUAAAGGGGGCGCAGACGGCGAUGCAAGCCAGGAGUGAAAGCCCGGGGCCCAACCCCGGGACUGCUCUUGGAACUGCGUGGCUUGAGUGCAGGAGG
rnacentral:rRNA from 1 species